CAAGGCUGAAACUUAAAGGAAUUGGCGGGGGAGCACCACAACAGGUGGAGCCUGCGGUUUAAUCGGACUCAACGCCGGGAAACUCACCAGAUAACACAGCUGAAUGAUAGUCGGGCUGAAGACUCUACUUGACUAGCUGAGAGGAGGUGCAUGGCCGUCGUCAGUUCGUACUGUGAAGCAUCCUGUUAAGUCAGGCAACGAGCGAGACCCACGCCAACAGUUGCCAGCUCGUCCUCCGGGAUGGUGGGGACACUGUUGGGACCGCCUCUGCUAAAGAGGAGGAAGGAAUGGGCAACGGUAGGUCAGCAUGCCCCGAAUUAUCUGGGCUACACGCGGGCUACAAUGGGUGGGACAAUGGGUAUCGACACCGAAAGGUGAAGGCAAUCUCCUAAACCCAUCCUUAGUUCGGAUUGUGGGCUGCAACUCGCCCACAUG
rnacentral:rRNA from 1 species